rnacentral:rRNA from 1 species
AACACGUAGGCAACCUGCCCUGAAGCGGGGGAUAACAUCUGGAAACAGGUGCUAAUACCGCAUAACAACGAAAACCACAUGGUUUCGUUUCAAAGAUGGUUUCGGCUAUCACUUCAGGAUGGGCCCGCGGUGCAUUAGCUAGUUGGUAAGGUAACGGCUUACCAAGGCGAUGAUGCAUAGCCGAGUUGAGAGACUGAUCGGCCACAAUGGAACUGAGACACGGUCCAUACUCCUACGGGAGGCAGCAGCA